rnacentral:rRNA from 1 species
UACGAGGGGUGCAAACGUUGUUCGGAAUGAUUGGGCGUAAAGGGUGCGUAGGCGGCACGUUAAGUCAACUGUUAAAUCUCCCGGCCUAACCGGGAACAUGCAGUAGAAACUGAUGCGCUAGAGUAUGGAAGAGAGAAGUGGAAUUCUCGGAGUAGCGGUAAAAUGCGUAGAGAUCAGGAAGAACAUCGGUGGCGAAGGCGCUCUGCUGGACCAUAACUGACACUCAGGGACGAAAGCUAGGGGAGCGAAUGGG